GAUGAACGCUGGCGGCGUGCUUAACACAUGCAAGUCGAACGAAGCACUUUAUUUGAUUUCCUUCGGGACUGAUUAUUUUGUGACUGAGUGGCGGACGGGUGAGUAACGCGUGGGUAACCUGCCUUGUACAGGGGGAUAACAGUUGGAAACGGCUGCUAAUACCGCAUAAGCGCACGGCAUCGCAUGAUGCAGUGUGAAAAACUCCGGUGGUAUAAGAUGGACCCGCGUUGGAUUAGCUAGUUGGUGAGGUAACGGCCCACCAAGGCGACGAUCCAUAGCCGACCUGAGAGGGUGACCGGCCACAUUGGGACUGAGACACGGCCCAAACUCCUACGGGAGGCAGCAGUGGGGAAUAUUGCACAAUGGGCGAAAGCCUGAUGCAGCGACGCCGCGUGAGCGAAGAAGUAUUUCGGUAUGUAAAGCUCUAU
rnacentral:rRNA from 1 species